CUCAAAGAUUAAGCCAUGCAAGUGGCUAUAUUUAACCCGACAGUUUAAAUAAGUGUUAUCGUAUACUGACGCAUAUACAUACACACAGACCGACCGACACACGUGAUAAUUUACGCAUAUCACUUACGCAACUGCAGACAGCUGCUUAAUACAGUCACACUUGUCUUGACUUGGCACCCAACCCACACACAUGACAAUACGCAUAUUAUAUUCUCCACUCACGCAUCGAAUAUUUUAUGUGAUAAAUAGUGUAUUGAUUUCUCUGUAACACACGCGCUUAUUCAUUCGAUUAAUUUUUGCGUUACACAGUGACAAUUUUUUUCAUCUUAUGGAUAACUCAGGGAAAGCUUGGCUAAUACGUACGAGACCCACACACACUAUAUACUCAGCACUCAAUGGUAAACUUUGCGAUUCGCUUCGGCAUUCGCUAUAUAAGUUUAACUGCAACAUGAGAGACAUUGAGCACGCCGUAUUAUUUCUUCAUUGCUAAUAAUACAUCCGCUGAGCAGACUUUGCGAAUUUUUUAUAUUUGCGAAGCAUGUCAUACAAGCAUCUACAGCAUCAAGUCACAGGGUUGGCAAGUGUAUUUUUGAACCUUCAAAGCAGUAACGCAUACGGAAGAGUAGUUUCUGAUCCCAUAGAAGGAGCACCGUACAAUGAGAGACCGCUCUUAGUUCUAAGGAACGCAGCAGGCGCGUAAAUUGCCCAAUGUUAGUACCCUACUAUUGCUAAUAUAUACGCACGACAUAUCAUUUAUUCUGUCACAACACACACAUACAUCCUUGUUAUGCCGUCUCGUGUAAUUUAUUUUACUGAGGCAGUGACAAGCUGUAACGGUUGAGUAUAAAAAUGACGAGUGUCUGGCAUUGCCGCUCUUUCGGGAGCUUGGCAAUUUUGCCGACGCUUUGUGUGCUCAAUUGGAAUGCGGUGAGUUUAAGCAACUCAGAACCUUUGGAUUCGGUGUCUCUUACGAUUCACCAAUUCAUGUAUCUGAAUUUUCAAGUGGAGGGCAAGUCUGGUGC
rnacentral:rRNA from 1 species